rnacentral:lncRNA from 1 species
UCGAGAAGUGACAUGAAAAAAUGCGUCUUCAUUGCAGGGUAUCGUGAGACCACCCAUUGAAUGUUGAAAUCCAAAUUCUUCCUCUGAUUUCUGAAGCAAUUCCUGGAAUGAAGUGUGAUUCAGGUAUGCAAUUGGAACUACGUAUCUCUUCUUCUCUGUUUCUCCUACGUAAACUGCAAAGUGUCCUUUUGGUACAUCUGAUAUUUGGUUCCUAGUUAAAACAGAGUGCAGUUUGUGGAAUUGCUUCACACCGGAAAUAAUUGAUGGUAAACGAAUAAUACCCAUCACUAGAUCUUGUUAUUAGUGGUAGAUAUGAAUUCAGAAGAAUAAUGCAGUUAAGGUGUUUGAUGAUUUGACUGACUGGGAAUGGCGAUAUUUAUAGUAGCUGCUGGAAAAUUAUAUAUGUUGCGUUCCACCGCAGCUCAGCUGUCCUUGUGUACAAUUGGGGUCCAACUUCACAUUAUCAACAAAUAAAAUACUCCUACCCAAUUCCCAGCAAAUAAUUAAUCAGCCCAUUAUUGUAUUCCUUCCAAAAUCUGAUAAAUUGUGAAUUUAAGUUCCUACUCCACAAGACUUUGACCUGACACUUAGUUCUCAUGUUCAAAACUCAAUAAAGAAAAGAUUAGGUAAUUAUUCUUCUGUUCUAACAUAGUUACUUGGUACAUGUUGCUGGUGGAAAAUGACAUAUAUCCCGUGAAAUUAAUUAAGGUGUGCGAAAGCUGGCCCGAACACCACCGUCAUAAAAAAAAAAAAAAAAAAAUUGUUUGGCUCAAAAAGAUAAAAGUAGUGAGAGCUAAUUAAUCAAAUUGAAUCUGCCAUAUAUCCACUUGAUUAUCUCGUCCUGAAUUUUGGUGGGCAUAAGCUGGUCUAUCAAAUUGCAACUCCCAUACUGCCUUGAAGUACCUCACAAGUUAGAACUAUAUAUUAGUAUCUUCUACUUCUGCUAAAAGUUGUGAAGUCAUUACUCAUUAAUGAUCUAAAGAUAACUUUUGGUACAAAUUCCUACGUACGUACCAUGCCUCCUAUUUUCUGCGGAAAUAACUGCAUGCCCACAUAUAUAUGUCUUGGUUUAGAAUUUUCAUAAAUAUGCAUGACAAUUGGCAGCACAACAAAUUGUGUAUUUUUGGUGUUGAAUAUUCAACUUAAUUAUAUAUAUGUUCCCAACUAGUGACUACUGCCUACUUGCAUGAAAAUAGCAUUAUUUUAAUGAGUAGUCAUUUACUAAAGAACUUUAUUUCUACCGUAAGAGAUAUGAAAAUAAUGUCAUUUUUUUCUAUUAAAAUUGUAAGAGUCCAAGAGAUUUCAUUUCCUCCUAUUCCUCUCUUGAUUAUAUGAAAUUAAAGUAGAAAAUUGAGAAUGUUUUGAUUAAGAAAGAGAAGGAUUUUAUCUUAAUUAACUACUACUAAUAAUUAUAUCGCUGAUACAUAUUCAGAUGAUAAAAGAUCAAAUGAUUGGAACUAUAUUUUCGAUAAAGAUCAGAUUCAGUAGGUUUGCUUAAUCUAGUUAAUAUUGUUACGAGUUCAAUUUUCCUGUCACUGCUGACGCUGUUCAAUAAUUAGAUUUCCUUAUUAUUAAUUCUGCUAAAAAAGAAGAAGGAAUAAUUAAAGAAAAUUCUUUUGACAUCUAUUAUUCCAAGUCUGUGAUCCAGAUCCAGAUAAUUAAAAAAUUGAAAUUCCAUGUAAACAUAAUCAAUGAGCUUGACUUACUAAACUCAUAAUAAAUUAAAGGUCUAACCUAUCGGUGACCCCCUAAAGUUGGCAGCAAUUUUCACUUACACACUUUAACUGCAUGCCCACCUAUAUGUGUCUUGCUCUUGAUUUUUCAAUAAUUAUGUUCAGCACAACAAAUUUUUGCUUUUGCUUUUUCCUGUUGAAUUUUCAACUUAAUUACAUAUAUAUGUUCCCAAACUAGUGGCUAGCUACUUGCAUGAAAAUAAACGAGUGCUAGUUUUACCAACUCUGCCAUUUAAUUUGAUGAUCAGCAUGCAUUUGAAACUUGUGAAUUGUAUGAUAAUCUUCUUAUUUAAAAAGUUUAAGUUGUUACGAAGAUCAUAUGUUUGUUUACCUUAUAACAGUUCCUUCUUGUGUGGGUCAGAUUCUUUUUUUUUAUUGAGCCAACCACAUUUUUUUAUAAUGAUGUAACGUCACUCAUGCCUUAAGACAUCUGUCUGAAGUGUGAAAUAAUCUUAUUCGAAAGAUUGAGCUAUUAGAGAUAUUUAAUUCAUUUAAUCAUAUUUAGGUUCCACAUUAUAGUCACUGCUAUACUACAAGCUUUCGUACUCUCUAGAAAGAAUCAUACAUUUAUUACUAAACUACUUUCGUAGAACUAGGACAGGAAGUUCUUUUGUUGUUGCUUGAAUCUUAGCUAUUUAAAUAAAAUGAGAUAUUACAACUAUAACAUUAAUCUAAAUUUCAAAACAUUAUAACGGUGACUUACAACUAAUGAAAAUGAAAAGAGAAAAAAAGACGAAAAUAGCACUCCCAAGUGUGAACAAAAGUAUUUCGGUACUAUAAGUUUGAUCUAACAACCCAAUGAUUUAAUUAAGGAACGACUAACAAAUAUCCAUUAUAAAUUGCUUAUAUUGACCAAAAUUAUACUACCUGUACGCAUAAUUUAAUGCUCCGCGUAUAUAUCAUUUUGAAAUUUAUGGAGCGCAUUAAUUAUUCUGUAUUGAGCUACAAGCCUACAACUACGAAGUUGCCGGAUCAAGGAAAUGAAAAAGAAUUUAUUAGUAUUUGACUCUACACCAAUCACCGCUAACGCUGUUCAAUAAUUAGAUUUCCUUAUUAGUAAUUCUGAAAGAAGAAAAGAAGGAUUCAAAGAAAUUUCUUGACAACAGUUAUUAAGCAUAAUCUAUAUCAAUAAUUAUACUUGGAAUAAAUUAAAAGAAUUUCUAUGUGGGUUGUACAAAAGAAUUAGCCAACAUAACCAUCGAUUAUUACUUGUAGCAACAUCCUUCUGUAGUUGUGUUGCUAUUGUUUCAACCAGAUGUAAAAUUAGAAGUAGAAUUGAUUAAAAUAUCAACGUGAUAAUUAUUAUAGGUGGUUGUUUGAAUCCCAAAUUUCAUUGUGCUGCACUAAAAUUGUAACGUUAUCCAUCACUAGAAUUCACAUAGAAGGUUGCUUGGGGAAGAAGAGGAAGACAACUUUGGGAAAAGAGGCAAAAUCCGUGUGAGAAUAGUUUUGCACUGAAUUAUAAAAAGAAUAAUGGUGUAUCAGCUAUUCAGUUUGUAAAUAGUUUCAAUUUUUGGGGUAUAAGUGUUCUUUUCCCCUUUUAAAAAGUAAAUUAAAUCCAACACCUAAUUUCACUAGAAAGAAAAAAUAGAUUUCUUGACAAGUACUUUUUAAGUAUUUUAAUUCCGUACACAUAAUAAAUAGAACUACACUAUCCACUACGAAUACACUAUUACUUCCACUUUUCUUUUUAAUCUUGUCGGUCCAAACAGAAAAUUACAUCUUUCCAUAAUUAAAAAUGAUUUCUAUAGAAAUAUCUAAAGUUUGUGUGUAGUUUUUUUAAGCUAGAGAUAAAUUAAGUAUAUAUGACAGUAAAAUAUGUCUAGUUAGAUAGUUUUUUAAAUUUUAAAAGUCGUUCUCUUUUUUCUUAAAAUUUGUAUCAAUCAAAUACAAUAAAUUCCACAAAAUUGAAUCUGUAUCAAUUAAUUAGUGUUUCGAAUUGAGAUAGAAAGAAUAACUGAUUGUUAAAUUCUACUGAUUUAAAAAAAUUUAGCAGCAUUAUUCUUAAACUGUUUAGUAUGAGCAACUAAAAUAUUUUACGAAGACAAUGAAAAAUUGUAAAAAAUAAAAAUGAUUGUAUUCUUUGCAAUUCUGUCAACAUUAUGAGUCAGUGAAAAGGCAAUUCACAUAAAUUUACCGCUCUUGCAUUGCAAGAUGAAAAAUAAAUAAUGAAAGAAAAACAGUAAGCUCUAAUAUAAUCUGUGACUAAUAUAAUUGCUUCUUCAUAAGGAAUUGUUCAAUCGAGAAGUGACAUGGAAAAAUGCAUCCUCAUUGCAGGGUAUUGUGAGACCGCCCAUUGAAUGUUGAAACCCAAAUUCUUCCUCUGAUUUCUGAAGCAAUUCCUGGAACGAAGUGUGAUUCAGGUAUGCAAUUGGAACUACGUAUCGUUUCUUCUCUGUUUCUCCAACGUAAACUGCUAAAUGUCCUUUUGGUACAUCUGAUAUUUGAUUCCGAGUUAAAACAGAGUGUAGUUUGUGAAAUUGCU